GCAAGUCGAGCGGAAGAUGGGAGCUUGCUCCCUGAUGUUAGCGGCGGACGGGUGAGUAACACGUGGGUAACCUGCCUGUAAGACUGGGAUAACUCCGGGAAACCGGGGCUAAUACCGGAUGGUUGUUUGAACCGCAUGGUUCAAACAUAAAAGGUGGCUUCGGCUACCACUUACAGAUGGACCCGCGGCGCAUUAGCUAGUUGGUGAGGUAACGGCUCACCAAGGCGACGAUGCGUAGCCGACCUGAGAGGGUGAUCGGCCACACUGGGACUGAGACACGGCCCAGANUCCUACGGGAGGCAGCAGUAGGGAAUCUUCCGCAAUGGACGAAAGUCUGACGGAGCAACGCCGCGUGAGUGAUGAAGGUUUUCGGAUCGUAAAGCUCUGUUGUUAGGGAAGAACAAGUACCGUUCGAAUAGGGCGGUACCUUGACGGUACCUAACCAGAAAGCCACGGCUAACUACGUGCCAGCAGCCGCGGUAAUACGUAGGUGGCAAGCGUUGUCCGGAAUUAUUGGGCGUAAAGGGCUCGCAGGCGGUUUCUUAAGUCUGAUGUGAAAGCCCCCGGCUCAACCGGGGAGGGUCAUUGGAAACUGGGGAACUUGAGUGCAGAAGAGGAGAGUGGAAUUCCACGUGUAGCGGUGAAAUGCGUAGAGAUGUGGAGGAACACCAGUGGCGAAGGCGACUCUCUGGUCUGUAACUGACGCUGAGGAGCGAAAGCGUGGGGAGCGAACAGGAUUAGAUACCCUGGUAGUCCACGCCGUAAACGAUGAGUGCUAAGUGUUAGGGGGUUUCCGCCCCUUAGUGCUGCAGCUAACGCAUUAAGCACUCCGCCUGGGGAGUACGGUCGCAAGACUGAAACUCAAAGGAAUUGACGGGGGCCCGCACAAGCGGUGGAGCAUGUGGUUUAAUUCGAAGCAACGCGAAGAACCUUACCAGGUCUUGACAUCCUCUGACAAUCCUAGAGAUAGGACGUCCCCUUCGGGGGCAGAGUGACAGGUGGUGCAUGGUUGUCGUCAGCUCGUGUCGUGAGAUGUUGGGUUAAGUCCCGCAACGAGCGCAACCCUUGAUCUUAGUUGCCAGCAUUCAGUUGGGCACUCUAAGGUGACUGCCGGUGACAAACCGGAGGAAGGUGGGGAUGACGUCAAAUCAUCAUGCCCCUUAUGACCUGGGCUACACACGUGCUACAAUGGACAGAACAAAGGGCAGCGAAACCGCGAGGUUAAGCCAAUCCCACAAAUCUGUUCUCAGUUCGGAUCGCAGUCUGCAACUCGACUGCGUGAAGCUGGAAUCGCUAGUAAUCGCGGAUCAGCAUGCCGCGGUGAAUACGUUCCCGGGCCUUGUACACACCGCCCGUCACACCACGAGAGUUUGUAACACCCGAAGUCGGUGAGGUAACCUUUUAGGAGC
rnacentral:rRNA from 2 species